rnacentral:rRNA from 1 species
UCUGGGCGUAAGCGCGCGUAGGCGGUUUUGUAGUCGGAUGUGAAAUCCCCGGAGCUCAACCUGGGAACUGCAUUCGAGACUGCAUAGCUAGAGUGUGGCAGAGGGGGGUGGAAUUCCACGUGUAGCGGUGAAAUGCGUAGAUAUCUGGAGGAACACCGAUGGCGAAGGCGGCCCCCUGGACUGAUACUGACGCUGAUGUGCGAAAGCGUGGGGAGCAAACAGGAUUAGAUACCCUGGUAGUCCACGCCGUAAACGAUGUCAACUAGCCGUUGGGGACCUUGAACUUUGGGUGGCGCAGUCUAACGCGUUAAGUUAACCGCCUGGGGAGUACGGCCGCAGAGGUU